rnacentral:pre_miRNA from 1 species
GUAAGAAAUCUCGUUAGUUUUCCGUAUUUGGCGUAAAACUGAAAAGAUUUGUUACAG